GGCAGGGCCCUUCUGUCUUCCUGCUGUCACCGUGUGCCCGUACGUGUGCCCGUACGUGGACCCGUCCAGCUCAGAGGCCUGCCUGACGUCCCCUCGUUCCAGAAUGCCGCUCUGGCUUCUCCUGUGACAGUACACAAGCAUCCCUCGGAGCCACACUCGCUGCUCACCGCCCUGAACCCAGGACAGUGAAUCCCUCCCCCUCCGGACUGGUGUGAGCCCUCCCAAGGGGUCUCUGGGUCCUGCCGAGCCGGGCCCCCCUUUGCUGCUGUGUCACUCCGGUCCUUCCUUCGAGGAAUAAUUGCCGAGCCCCUGCGCUGCCAGGCAAGGACCCGGUCCCUGCUCCGAGAUGCUUUCAGCUCCAGAAUCAGCCGUUUAUGGAAGGAGCUCUGGGUCCGCAGUGCAGAGGCAUAUGCAGAAACCAGGAUCUGGCUACAGGCGCACCUGUGCUGGGGUGUCUCAGUGCUGAGACCUGCCGUGUGCACCUCUGAGUUAACACAGGCGUGUGUGUGUGUGUGUGUGUGUGUGUGUCCCCGUCCCCGUCCGUGUGCUGCACGUGUUCACAUUUGUACUUCUGUCUGUAUCAGUGCUGUCAAGUAGAAAAUGUGUGAGCCGCAUCUGUCUUUUAAAAUUCCUGGUGGUCAUAUUAAAAAAGUGAA